AAAAUCCAGGGAUGGUCAGAGAGGUUACUAGCUUGUGCGGGGCGCGAUACUUUGUUAAAAUCAGUAGCCCAAGAUAUUCCCACAUAUCCUAUGAGUACCUUUCUGCUUACCAAGAAAGUUUGCAAGAGUCUAACUUUACCCAUGGUCAAAUACUUUUGGAGUAGUUCUCUUGACAAGAAAUCUAUGCAUUGAGUGUCUUGGAAAGAAUCGACGACACCCAAGUGUAAGGGGGGAAUGGGUUUCAAAGAUCCUCAUCUAUUCAAUCUUGCAAUGUUGGGAAAGCAUGGUUGGCGGUUUUCGACAAAUCCAAAUUCCCUGUGUGCAAGAGUGUUGAAAGGAGCCCUCUGUGCCCAAGUUGGCCUCCGCCACUUGGAAGGCGAUCAUAGCAGGAAGGGAAGCUCUAUGACCCAGUUUGAUAACUCUUGUUGGAGAUGGCAGUUCUAUCUCGGUCUGGACUGA
rnacentral:rRNA from 1 species